rnacentral:rRNA from 1 species
AUUGAACGCUGGCGGCAGGCCUAACACAUGCAAGUCGAGCGGAUGAGAGGAGCUUGCUCCUUGAUUUAGCGGCGGACGGGUGAGUAAUGCCUAGGAAUCUGCCUGGUAGUGGGUGAUAACGUUCCGAAAGGAACGCUAAUACCGCGUACGUCCUACGGGAGAAAGCAGGGGACCUUCGGGCCUUGCGCUAUCAGAUGAGCCUAGGUCGGAUUAGCUAGUUGGUGAGGUAAUGGCUCACCAAGGCGACGAUCCGUAACUGGUCUGAGAGGAUGAUCAGUAACACUGGAACUGAGACACGGUCCAGACUCCUACGGGAGGCAGCAGUGGGGAAUAUUGGACAAUGGGCGAAAGCCUGAUCCAGCCAUGCCGCGUGUGUGAAGAAGGUCUUCGGAUUGUAAAGCACUUUAAGUUGGGAGGAAGGGCAGUAAGUUAAUACCUUGCUGUUUUGACGUUACCGACAAAAUAAGCACCGGCUAACUUCGUGCCAGCCGCCGCCGUAACAC